rnacentral:sRNA from 1 species
CUUGGUCAUUUAGAGGAAGUAAAAGUCGUAACAAGGUUUCCGUAGGUGAACCUGCGGAAGGAUCAUUAAUAAAUGUUGCCUCUGGUAACUUUAUAAUCCUUUAACACCUGUGCAUCUUGUCGCUCCGGCGAUAUUAUACAAACAUCAGUGUAAAGAAUGUAAACUAUUAUAAUAAAUACAACUUUUAACAACGGAUCUCUUGGCUCUCGCAUCGAUGAAGAACGCAGCGAAAUGCGAUAAGUAAUGUGAAUUGCAGAAUUCAGUGAAUCAUCGAAUCUUUGAACGCACAUUGCGCCUUUUGGUAUUCCGAAAGGCAUGCCUGUUUGAGUGUCAUAAGACCUCUCAUACCUAGUUUUCUAUGUAUGAGCUUUGGACGUCUGCCAUCCGUGGCUCGUCUUAAAUGUCUAAGUGGAAUGCGUAAUAAGUUUUCGCUCCCUCCACUCUAAUAACACUUUAAGUUAGACCUCAAAUCAGGUAGGGCUACCCGCUGAACUUAAGCAUAUCAAUAAGCGGAGGAAAAGAAACUAACAAGGAUUCCCCUAGUAGCGGCGAGCGAACCGGGAAGAGCUCAAAUUUAAAAUCUGGCGUCCUUCGGGCGUCCGAGUUGUAAUCUACAGAAGUGUUUUCCGUGCUGGACCGUGUCCAAGUCCCUUGGAACAGGGUAUCAAAGAGGGUGACAAUCCCGUACUUGACACGACAACCAGUGCUAUGUGAUACAUUUUCUACGAGUCGAGUUGUUUGGGAAU